rnacentral:rRNA from 1 species
AGAGUUUGAUCCUGGCUCAGGAUGAACGCUGGCGGCGUGCCUAACACAUGCAAGUCGAACGGAGUUACUUUGGUGAAGUUUUCGGAUGGAUCUGAUUUAACUUAGUGGCGGACGGGUGAGUAAUGCGUGAGCAACCUGCCCUUCAGAGGGGGACAACAGUUGGAAACGACUGCUAAUACCGCAUAAUGUAUUCGGAAGGCAUCUUCUGGAUACCAAAGGAGAAAUCCGCUGAUGGAUGGGCUCACGUCUGAUUAGCUAGUUGGUGAGGUAACGGCUCACCAAGGCUGCGAUCAGUAGCCGGACUGAGAGGUUGAACGGCCACAUUGGGACUGAGAUACGGCCCAGACUCCUACGGGAGGCAGCAGUGGGGAAUAUUGGGCAAUGGGCGAAAGCCUGACCCAGCAACGCCGCGUGAAGGAAGAAGGCCUUCGGGUUGUAAACUUCUUUUAAGAGGGACGAAGAAGUGACGGUACCUCUUGAAUAAGCCACGGCUAACUACGUGCCAGCAGCCGCGGUAAUACGUAGGUGGCGAGCGUUAUCCGGAAUUAUUGGGCGUAAAGAGCGCGCAGGUGGUUGAUUAAGUCUGAUGUGAAAGCCCACGGCUUAACCGUGGAGGGUCAUUGGAAACUGGUCGACUUGAGUGCAGAAGAGGGAAGUGGAAUUCCAUGUGUAGCGGUGAAAUGCGUAGAGAUAUGGAGGAACACCAGUGGCGAAGGCGGCUUCCUGGUCUGUAACUGACACUGAGGCGCGAAAGCGUGGGGAGCAAACAGGAUUAGAUACCCUGGUAGUCCACGCCGUAAACG